GUAGGUGAACCUGCUGCUGGACCAUUA
rnacentral:rRNA from 1 species